GUAAUGCCGGAUGCUCCGACUCCUCGCAUGGGGUGUCGGGAAAGAUUUCAUCGGUAUGGGAUGGGGUCGCGUCCUAUCAGGUAGUCGGCGGGGUAACGGCCCACCGAGCCUACGACGGGUAGCCGGCCUGAGAGGGCGACCGGCCACAUUGGGACUGAGAUACGGCCCAGACUCCUACGGGAGGCAGCAGUGGGGAAUAUUGCACAAUGGGCGCAAGCCUGAUGCAGCGACGCCGCGUGCGGGAUGACGGCCUUCGGGUUGUAAACCGCUUUUGAUCGGGAGCAAGCCUUCGGGUGAGUGUACCUUUCGAAUAAGCACCGGCUAACUACGUGCCAGCAGCCGCGGUAAUACGUAGGGUGCAAGCGUUAUCCGGAAUUAUUGGGCGUAAAGGGCUCGUAGGCGGUUCGUCGCGUCCGGUGUGAAAGUCCAUCGCUUAACGGUGGAUCUGCGCCGGGUACGGGCGGGCUGGAGUGCGGUAGGGGAGACUGGAAUUCCCGGUGUAACGGUGGAAUGUGUAGAUAUCGGAAAGAA
rnacentral:rRNA from 1 species